GCUCCUGUGGCCUUAGUGGUUAAAGCGUCCGCCUCGGAUUCGUGAUGUCGCGAGUUCAAUCCCCGGCUGAGUCG